rnacentral:rRNA from 1 species
GACGAACCGUGCGAACGUUGUUCGGAUUCACUGGGCUUAAAGGGCGCGUAGGCGGGUUACCAAGUCAGGGGUGAAAUCUUUCGGCUCAACCGGAAAACGGCCCCUGAUACUGGUAGUCUUGAGGGAGGUAGGGGCAGGUGGAACUUCCGGUGGAGCGGUGAAAUGUGUUGAUAUCGGAAGGAACGCCGGUGGCGAAAGCGACCUGCUGGAUCUCUUCUGACGCUGAGGCGCGAAAGCUAGGGGAGCGAACGGGAUUAGAAA